ACGCUGGCGGCAGGCCUAACACAUGCAAGUCGAACGUGAAGCUGGAGCUUGCUCCAGUGGAAAGUGGCAGACGGGUGAGUAACGCGUGGGAACCUACCUAGUAGUACGGAACAACCAUUGGAAACGAUGGCUAAUACCGUAUACGCCCUUCGGGGGAAAGAUUUAUCGCUACUAGACGGGCCCGCGUUGGAUUAGCUUGUUGGUGAGGUAACGGCUCACCAAGGCGACGAUCCAUAGCUGGUCUGAGAGGAUGAUCAGCCACACUGGGACUUAGACACGGCCCAGACUCCUACGGGAGGCAGCAGUGGGGAAUAUUGGACAAUGGGCGAAAGCCUGAUCCAGCCAUGCCGCGUGGGUGAAGAAGGCCCUAGGGUUGUAAACCCCUUUCAGCGGGGAAGAUAAUGACGGUACCCGCAGAAGAAGCCCCGGCUAACUCCGUGCCAGCAGCCGCGGUAAUACGGAGGGGGUUAGCGUUGAAGCCGAAUU
rnacentral:rRNA from 1 species